AAGCCGGAUUAUCGGGUGGUGCCGAAUUUAAAACGGAAUUGAAGUUAUGCGCCGAAAUGAAGAAAAUUCCAAGAUAUAUAUAUAUAUAAUACUUUUAAUUAACAAAUCAUUUUUGUAUAAUAAUUAAUUCACAGUAUUUAUAUUAUAUUAAAAUAUUCGUAUUUUUUCAAUAAUUCUAAAUGAGAAACGUGAAUUCACCGCAUAAUGGCUACAAAAUUCAAUAUUUCGAUCCGAAUUUAAGUAAUUUGUUAAAUGUUCGCAUAGAUUUCUAUUAAAUACAUUAAUCCUGAAUAAUUAUAUUCCAAAUUGCAUUUAAGAAAAGAAAAAAUUUCAGAUGAAUAAAUCCGGCGUGAGUGGCGCGUUGAUCUUUCAAGAUGGCGGAAGACACCGAAACAUAGAAGAUUGGGCAUGUCUGUGUUAUAAUUGUGGAAGUGAAACUCAAAAUAAGAAUUGAUGGAAAUUCAUAAUUGUCAAUGUUCAUAAUGGAGAACAGAAGGAAGACAUGAAGUCACCACUUGUUCACCAGAUGUUGCCUGUACCACACCUCCUUUGUAACCGCUCUGCACCUUGUAAUAAUGCCACCUUCAACUCUAUUAUUUUACUGUUGUGGAAGGAAUAUCUUCAAAAGAGAAGAGAAAUACAGAGGAAGAUGAAGAUUGGUUUAUUUGGUUAUGGCUAGGUGAUCUGCCGAGGGGAUGCCUCUCAAGAGGACUUUCUAUGAAGACUGGACCCCAUUUAGGUGUUACUAAUGUUAAAAAAUCUAGAAAACUCCACAUGAAAUAAAUAAUAAAAAACAAUGGGAUCGGUGUAGACAAAUAUUAAAAUUAAUAAAUUCUAAAAAUUUUUCGGUUUAAAAAAAUUUCUAAGAACCACAAGUGACGUUCACUCUUUAAUUCCGACUUCGAUAGAGUUUAAAAAAACAGAGAAAACCAGAGAAUUAUUUUCACUAUUUCUUACUUUAUUAUGUUAUCCAUAUAUAUUUCGCUAUUUUAGCCUCUUCAGUAGAUAUUACACUGUCAAGUUGCCAGUACUAUUAUAGUUUAUCAAGUUAUCCCAGCAUGCAUCGACAUAUGCUCCGUGUUGUUGCCACGGGGAUUCAGUUCUGUUCAAUCGAAUUGCCGCCUCAUGCUCCUUUAGCCUCACUUCCAGUUUUCUUCCUGUUUCUCCAACGUAGCUUUUCCGUUCUGUGCACGUACACAUCAAUUCAUAUACGAC